rnacentral:rRNA from 1 species
AUACGUAGGGGCCAAACGUUGUCCGGAUUUAUUGGGCGUAAAGGGCCCGUAGGCGGAUUGGAAAGUCGGGUGUGAAAUCCUACAGCUCAACUGUGGAACUACAUUCGAUACUCCCAAUCUCGAGUGUGAGAGGGGUGAAGGGAAUUCCCGGUGUAAGGGUGAAAUCUGCAGAGAUCGGGAAGAACACCAGUCGCGAAGGCGCUUCACUGGCUCACUACUGACGCUGAGGGACGAAAGCUAGGGUAGCCAACGGGAUUAGAAACCCCAGUAGUCC